UACGGAAGGCAGCAGUGGGGAAUAUUGCACAAUGGGCGAAAGCCUGAUGCAGCUAUGCCGCGUGUAUGAAGAAGGCCUUAGGGUUGUAAAGUACUUUCAUCGGGGAGGAAAAAACAAAACUAAUAAUUUUAUUUCUUGACGUUACCCGAAAAAGAAGCACCGGCUAACUCCGUGCCAGCAGCCGCGGUAAUACGGAGGGUGCUAGCGUUAAUCAGAAUUACUGGGCGUAAAGAGCACGUAGGUGGUUUUUUUAAGUCAGAUGUGAAAUCCCUGGGCUUAACCUAGGAACUGCAUUUUGAAACUGAAAUACUAGAGUAUCGUAGAGGGAGGUAGAAUUCUAGGUGUAGCGGUGAAAUGCGUAGAUAUCUGGAGGAAUACCUGUGGCGAAAGCGGCCUCCUAAACGAAUACUGACACUGAGGGUGCGAAAGCUGGGGAGCAAACAGGGAUUAGAUACC
rnacentral:rRNA from 1 species